UUUAGUUUUUAUUUGUCAUGGGCCAAAAUCUGAGACUUGAAAUUCAGCAUUCAAAUUAAACUUUAAAUAAUAAUCUCAUAAAGUUAUACAAGGGUACUCUGUGCUCCAUUGCUUUCUAAACAAUGUUGACGUACCGAAACAUAUUUGUGUUUUAUCGCCAUGACUUCAGCUUGCCGAAACCCUUUUCCUACGAAUAACUUUCGUAAUCGUUUGACUGCUUAUGGCAGCUGGAUUUAUGCGACUUGCGAGUGCAAUCAACUGGCUCAUUGGGAUAUCCGCCACAAGCCAAAGUUUCCCAAGACGCGAAUGUAUACAUCUAUACGAGUAUACGGGCGGAAAGAAAGGACAGUCUUCGCAUUCAGCUGCUGUCAGUCGCGCGCGAAAACUUUUCAAUACAAAGUAUGAAGCCCAUGACGCUACUAAAAGGAGACAUUGAAGAAUGCGACAGCCCCGAUGAGGCGGCAGAACGGGGACCGGGCCAAGAGCUGUAAGCCAAGUGAAGAGCCCCGGUAAGGACAUUCGGGCGGGCCAUAUAUACAACCGAAUGAACCGCAACAAAGGCACUCAACUGACUCCGAUUGCGACUCCGGCAACUAGUACGGCCACAAGACUUCGUCAAUGACUGUGCAGUCGAAAAAAUAAUACCAAAAUCAUCAUACUAUCUUCAAUAUUUCAGUGUGCACCAAAGAUAUUAUGCCA